UGAUCCCAAACACGAUUGUAUACUUGCAUAAGGCAUCCCUGAAGGCAACGGGCUGUUAGGACCAGUGCGAGACUGAGGCCUCUUAGAAAAUGUCAUUUGGAGAGAUGGAUAUGACAGACUUGUUUUCUCUGUCUCUCUUAAAACCUUGUACUUUGGCAGCCUUUUAACUGUGCUUCACUCUUUUUGAAAUUUUUAUUUAUUACUUAGACAUCAGGAAAGGAAUAUUAUAGAAAGGAGAGGCUGGGAAAAACGUUCCUGGUCUAAAACAGACUACUGUACCUAGGAUCGUUUUUAGUUUCACAUCUCUAUUUUCCUGUGAAUCCUCGUAGGAAGACACUAAAAGAGAAAGCUGAGGAAAUAUGAAAAAAAUUUAUGUUGGAGCAAAAUAUUGGAGUGAAGUAUUUUUAAAUUGUGGCAAAUGACUAAUUUGGAACCAUGCCUUGGCAUUACAGUUAUUUGCCACUAAGAGCAGGCAAAUCAGAAAAAUAACCUCAAUAUUUCAAAAAAAAGUUUUCUUGCAAAGGUUAGCACGGUGCAGAGAUUCCAAAUUUUAUUUGGCUUUAUCGUGAUCCAAGUGGGAAAAAUGAGGACACUUGAUGCCAAAUGUCUCAGGUGCUUGAAACCGCAACUUGGAGCGACUUUGUACUCUUCUGCCUUCAUGGGGCUUCAGAGGGGGCUUACGUUUUAUUUUAUUUUUGGCAGCUUGGCAGGUUUUGCACUUUACUAUGUCAUAUGUUUGUUUUAAAAGUUUUAAGUUGCCAUUACCAUCAAGUCAAAUAGAUGUGCCAAGACCACGUGCCGUGGUGUGGCUAGGGUAGUGCCUGGCCCCUGGCCUCUGACCCCACUUUGGGAAGCAUUGGUCAGGGAGGUCAUUGCUGCUAGAUUUCUGCUGUGGUGCAUCUGUUGUCCACCCUUCAUGGCGCUCUCUUAACAGCUAAGUUGGUCUACUUGUAGUUUGCAAAAUAGGCUGAGCAGAUUCCCAUCUUCCAGCUCUUCGUAUAUUCUCUCUGUUUGCAGUUACCUCUUUCCCUUGUAUUUCUUAAGUGCUGACAUCUUUGUUUUUCUCUUCACUUCGCUUUCCUUCCCCUUCAUGUCUGCCUUCCUUCCCUCCCUCUUUGCAGCCUCAGUUUCCCUACGAAGACCUUUCUUCUUGGCCGGGCUUAGAGAUUGCUCCCCUUCCUGAGCUCCUAGAGUGUUUACUUGUGGUACAAGGGGUUCCAUUUCAUAGGAUGCAGGAUGAAAACCUGGGAACGGUUUCAUUUAUUUUCAUUUCAUCCUUAAAAAGUUGUGACCUUUUAAGUUAUAGAAUAUAUUGCUAUGCUAAUGCAUUGUUACAGUUUGUAAGUAAAUUUACAUGAAAUGGAAGGACUGCAGAGAAAAUUUAGUGGGGUGGGCUGUAUCACCCAGAAAGGUCUGGAUUUGUUGUACGAGUCUACCACUGGCACUUGGCAAAUACCCCCUGUUUCUUUAAGUCCUGCCUCUUCACCUGUAUUGCAAGGACUGUGCCUUACAUCCUUGGGAUUUCUCAUAUUUGCUUGGUACCCCACAUUCAGUCCAAGUCUGUGGGUGAUGCUGAAGUCUGGUGAAGACGGUACUGGAGACCUGAGUUCCCCAGACCAGUCCUCCAGAGCGUGUUUGUUAAGAGGAGAGUGUGUAAGCUUAGAGCCUCUCAUUCCCUUGCGAACUUCACUUGUUACCCAGCCCCAGUCCUUUACCUGGAAUGAGGCCACUUAUAGUUGUUUUAUUUUUACUAGUGAACUUUUUCUUUUAGAGCACUUCUGGAUUUACAGGAAAGCUGCAAAGACAGUACAGGGAGUUUCUGUGUAUCUUCUGCUCGGUUUUCCCUUUUGUUAACGUCUUACAUUAGUGUUGCGCAUCUGUCAAAACUGGGAGCCAGUCCGGUUCAUCAUUAUUAUUAACCAAUGUCCGUCCUUUAUUCAGAUCCCUUUAGUGUUUCCCUAAUGGCCUUUUUCUGUUUCGGGAUCCCACAGUAUGUUCAGUUGUCAUGUCUCCGUGGGCUCCUCCAGUCUCUUCCUUGUUUUUGAUGAUUGUGACAGUCUUGAGGGGUACUGGUCUGGUGUUUCGUAGACUAUCCCUCAGCUGGUGUUUGAUGUUUUUCUCGUAAAGAGACUGGGAUUCUGUGCUUUGGGAGGAAAGACCCCAGGGUUGAAAUGCUGUUCUCAUCACAUCAUAUCAAGGGUGUGUGCUUUGAAGACGACUGGUCACUUGAUCACCUGGCCGAGGUGCCGUUUGUCCGCUUUCUCUGCCGUGAGGUUACCCUUUCCGCCCUUCUCCCUCCUGUACGUACGCAUGGCCCGCACUUGGAGGUGACAAGUUAUGCUCCACCCCCUGGAGGGGGAAGUGUCUAUGAAUUACUUGGAAUUCUAUAUAGGAGACUUAACUCUUCUCCCCCAUUCAUUUCCUUAUUCAGUUAUUUACAUCACUGUGGACACAUGGAUAUUGAUUUUAUACUUUGGGUUAUAGUUCAAUACUGUUAUUUAUUUUGCUGCUCAAAUUGUACCAGCUUUGGCUAUUGGGAGCCCUGUCAGUUGGCUUCUGUGUCCUGCAGACAUAUGUCCACCUUUUUCCCCCAUGUUUCCCUGUGCUGUGAGAAGCUGUAGGCGCCUCUUGUGUGCUCCUUGCCACAGCCCUGCAAUCAGCCGUUUCUCAGACUGAUUCCUUUUACUGGACAGUGAUGUUAGAAACCGGGAUCUGGGCACUGGAUUUGCUCGCUGCUUCUGGGACAUUUAUAAUAGGGUUUUGAUCCUCUGCUUCCUCUACCUAAUCCCAGGUGUUGGGAAAAGAGAGGGAGUGAGUGAGAGAUUUUGGAGGGACGAAGGGUCUCCUUAAGACACAAAACUUGGAAGAGCCCUGUGCAUGUUUGACCCUGUCACUUGACCCCCUCUUAACCUAUUAACACCAGCAUAAAUACUGUGCAUCCCACAUUUGCCACAUUUGGCAGAGAGUUAUUUUUAUUUUUAGAGCAAUAGAUACUUGAAAGAUUUUCUUUACUCUCUCCAGGAGCAGCCUAAUCUCUAAGGAUAUGAAGGAAGCCUCUGAGGCUUAAGGAUUUGGCUAGAGAAUUAUUUUAGGGAUCUGUCAGCUUCGGAAAUUGUUGAAGGGGAUUGUAGGCAACUCCUUUAAUUGGUAAAAGUUCAGAUAAAGUGUUUGGUGACAAGUGUCAAGAGUACAGGGGGCUGUGGACUCGGUCUGAUCUAUUUAAAGAGCUUUUCCUUUUGUUUCUUUCCUUCUCGUUUUUUAUUAGGGAAAAGUUCAAACAUACACAAAAGUAGAAAAAGUAACAUAAUGAGCCCCCAUGUGCCCAUCACCCAGCAGCCACAGUUUUUAAUUUGCAGUGAAGCUUGUUCGAUUGUACCCUUCCCACUGACCUGGCCACGGUAUCAGUUUGGCUGAGAAUGUUUCAGGAAAAAGUAAAGAUGUUUUUAUAAAACAGGAUCACUUGCGUCAGCAUCACCUAGGUACUUGUAGAAAUGCAGAUUUGGAGGCCUCAAAACAAACCAACUGAAUCAGAAUUCUGAAAGCCAGCCUGGAAAUCUGCAUUUAUAAUACGUUUCUAGUGAUUUCCCCACCCCCACAACACAAAAUAGUUUAUCUUCUGCUAGAGACAAAAUAAUACCAGCUUAAUUAAUAGAAAUAUGUUGACUUGUGUAGUUACUGAGACACAAAGAGGGAAGAACAAUUUAAAAUUAAAAAAUUAAAAAUUAGGAGAGAGAAUGUAGCUCAGUGAUAGAGUGUGUGCUUGGCAUGUACAAGGUCCUGGGUCCACUCCCCGGUACUGUCAUUAAAACAAUAAAUCAAUAAAUAAACCUCAUUACCCCCCUUCCAAAAAAAAUAGAUUAAAAAAUUAAUGUCAGCAUCUACAAUCUGAAGAGAUCUCUGCUCCUGACCACCAUACAUGAAUAUUCUGAAGAAUCUGCCUGUGAGAAGUAUGUGUGUUAUAACCACAAAGGAACUUGAAUACUUCAGGGCAGAUCGCACUUACUGCUCUAAAUACCUUUUUCUUUUUUUUUUUUUUGGUAACUUUAGCUCCUUCUCUGGAGGUCGGUAUAAAUAAUAGCCUCUUUGCAUUUUAUAAAUAUCCUGUAUAAAUAAUCAGUGGAAACUGUGAACUGGCAGCCUGACAGUCAGAUGCCAGCGCUGUGAGCUGAGAACCUCAUGGUGCAGAUGUGUCAGCCCUGGACCUGGGGUUCUGGCCGCUGCAGCACAGGCUAGCGAGGAAACCCAGCUCCAGCAGGUGCAACCCUGACGUUCCCGAUCCCCCAGGGUGCCUCCCUUGAAUGGUUCUGUGUCACCCGCAACUGUUACUUUCCAAGGACCCAGCCUGCCUUGACUCUGACUUUAGACUAUUAUUAAAACGUGAUACCCGGACACUGAUUGCUGGGUCUGCUGGGUGCUGUGGCUCCCAAGAAUAGUGCUCAUUAGGAGAUACUUUUUGUGUCUGCUCUGAAGAUUCACAGGCAGGUGUCAAGAAGCGUAUAUGAAGUCGUAGACAGAUGUCAUUUUCCGCCUCUUCUUCGCUCCUUCAGACCCUCCUGGAUUGACGCCCUUGAUCCCUUCCUCCCUCAGCUCUCGUGCUUCUCAGGCUCCGUCAGCAGCAGCAUCUUCCCGUGCUUUCUCCAGGACCCUUCCUCCCCAUUUAUGUAUAUAGUAGACUUUUUAAUGCAUGUAUUUUUCUGCGUAGCAUUAUUCUACUUUUAAAUACCUUUGUUAGUAUUAAUUCUCAGGAGGAGUUAAAAAAAAAAGUGGACCAUUCUUACGGUUCUCCUAUUAAUUGUCGUAUUUCUUUUCAAGACCCUUUAAAAGUGCUUUCCUCUUCUGCCUUCCGUGCGGUGUACACUGGGGUCUCCACCUGCCUCUGCAGCGUCUUCCUCCCUGUUUCCCUCCUAGCCCUGUUUCUUUGUCCCAUCCCUGAAAUGUUGUUACCCCUCUUGAUCCUCUCUUUUCCCCACACCAUCACAUCUCUGUUAAUAGCAAAUAAUGCACGUAGGUGUUUUAAAAAGUGAAAAUGUUCCAUGACUUACAAUAAAAGUAGUGCAGCGAACCCUUGCCCCAUCCCGUUCUUCAGCAUCCCUGCUUUCUGCACCUCUCCCCUGGGCAUCACCUCCUGCUCUUAGUCAUGUUGCUAAAUAACAUGCUUGAAUAACCGAUUCUUGGUUUAAGUAGACGCUGAAUUUCUACUGUGGAAGAAGAGGAUGUAUAUGUACACACGCAUGCACACACACACACACACACUCUUUCCUCUUCUUAGUGUCGUGGUUUUUUUUUUUUUUUACACUAUUUGAUUAAAUCACCAUUCAGUGUUUGCACUUAACUGCAAGUACUGUUCACUGUUGACCCAAUAGUGUUUCCAAUGAUUAAAUUUCCUUGACAUCUUUUCUUUUCCCUGGGCUUGCCCUGUGUCAUCAUUUCCUUAGUUUUUCGUGAAUGUGUCAUGAAUUUGAGCCUGCUCUUGGCGUGUUUGGCUGGGCUGCCCUGGAGCCUGCUCUGUGCCCUGUGCCAGGCGUGGGUGGUGGUCGCCCUUCCGCUGCCUCCAGGGUUGUACUGCAAGGUCUGAUUUCGUUUCCUGUGUGGCCUCUGUUCCCCCCUUGGAUGGAAGCUUUUGCGACUUUCUAAAUCUGAAAAGUUGCAAAACAGUGCCUUGGCAUGAGUCUACCAUUCACCCCGCUCACUAGGAUGGAUACCCUGGGCCUUUUGAAUCUGGAGAGUGGUGUCCUCUAGUUCCCGAAGAAUUUCAUACACACUUUUUUUUUUUAAAGAAAAUUAUUUCUUCCUUUUCUUUGUUCUUUUCCUUCAAGAACUUCUAUUAGUGGAAUGCUGGGCUUCUUGGAAUGAGCUUCGACUCUCCUUUUGUUCAUGUUUUGUCUCUUUAUUCCACUGUGGGACGACCUUUAUUUUUACUAAUACAUUUUAUUUCCAGGAGUUUUCCCUCCUCCCCAUACCUCUUUCUAAAUAGCUUUUUCUCAUGAGUGUAAUAUCUCCUCUUUUUUAUUUUUUAUUUUUUAUUUUUGAAGUACAGUCAAUUACAGUGUGUCAGUUGCUGGUGUACAGUGCAA